AGGCCAUUGUGGCUAGGAUUUUCACCGCUCCCUGGUCUCCCUGGGGCUCUCACUUUGUGCUCUCCAGUUCAUUAGAGAUGAAACUUGGCUGGAGUUUGUAGAUGAUACCAUAUGAAGCUGGCAUGAUACCCAUUUGGCUGCUCAGCAUAGAACACACCUGCAGAGUAGGAGAAAGAAGAGAAAGAUUCCAGCAAAGAGGAAUAUAUAGAAAAAGACACUAGGACAAAAAUAGUCCCUAGAUAAGCCUAAAGUUGACCUUUCCACCAAGCUGCCGCUACAGGAAACAAAUGGAUGAGGUGAUUGCUGCUUAAGAGAUCUGCAGGCUAUUAAAUUCCUCCCUACACUGUGGAUGUUUCCUCACUGUGCUAAAUAAGACACAUAGACAUAGCAAUGUAUGUUUGUUAUUGCGUUUGUCCAUGAUUGUUACUUAGA